UACAGAGGUCUCAACCGUUGUUCGGAUUCAUUGGGCGUAAAGGGUGCGUAGGCGGUCGCGCAAGUCGGAUGUGAAAUCUUGGGGCUCAACCCCGAAACUGCAUUCGAUACUGCGUGGCUCGAGUACUGGAGAGGAGACUGGAAUUUACGGUGUAGCGGUGAAAUGCGUAGAUAUCGUAAGGAAGACCAGUGGCGAAGGCGGGUCUCUGGACAGUUCCUGACGCUGAGGCACGAAGGUCAGGGGAGCAAACGGG
rnacentral:rRNA from 1 species